AUGGCAGUCCCGGGGAGCAGCUCCGUCGCCUCCGCUCCCCUCUCUCCUACUGCCAGAGCGGAGCCGCGGCCCCGGAGCCCCAGGCGCUCCCGGCCCCGCCCCCCGGCGCUCAUUGGUCCGAGGAGGCCCCCGUGGGCGGAGACUGGCGAGCCGGUAUUAAAAAUCACAUGGGCAGCGCUCAAAAGAGAGGCAGUAGCUUAUUCCGUUGUAUCACUUGCCAGCGGCAGGCUGAGGCUAGGGAGAGCUUGGGGAUGGUUUUCCGUUUUUUACUCACCUCUGGAUCUAACACCCUUUUUAACAAUACAAUUUUUGCCUAGCUUAAAAUCCACCGACAGGCCAUGUCUCCUUGUGGCAGAUGAUUGGCUGCUAAGUUGGCCGCGACGAUCGGAAGGCUCCUUGGUGCAGUCAAGGUCUGACAGAGGCCCCGGCUUCUCUCUCUUUUUCCUCUGAGUGUGUUCCCCAAGAGCCUUCAAAACUGUUUCUCCAAAGGGUUCUGCAGAAACUCAGACUGUUUUCUAAAGCAGAAGCAC
rnacentral:lncRNA from 1 species